rnacentral:rRNA from 1 species
GAUCAUGGCUCAGGAUGAACGCUAGCGGCAGGCUUAACACAUGCAAGGUCGAGGGGCAGCCGGGAGAUGUGCUUGCACAUUUUGCCGGCGACCGGCGCACGGGUGCGUAACGCGUAUCCAACCUUCCCGUUACUCAGGGAUAGCCUUCCGAAAGGGAGAUUAAUACCUGAUGGUGUUCAAAUUCCGCAUGUUAUUUGAACUAAAGAUUUAUCGGUAUCGGAUGGGGAUGCGUGACAUUAGAUAGUAGGCGGGUAACGGCCCACCUAGUCUACGAUGUCUAGGGGUUCUGAGAGGAAGGUCCCCCACACUGGAACUGAGACACGGUCCAGACUCCUACGGGAGGCAGCAGUGAGGAAUAUUGGUCAAUGGUCGGAAGACUGAACCAGCCAAGUAGCGUGAAGGAUGAAGGUUCUAUGGAUUGUAAACUUCUUUUAUACGGGAAUAAAACCUCCCACGUGUGGGAGCUUGUAUGUACCGUAUGAAUAAGCAUCGGCUAACUCCGUG